AGAGCUCAGUUUUGAAAUCUGGCAGUCAUUCACUGUCCGAGUUGUAAAUUGAAGAGAUUGUCAUCCACACUGGACCAUGUCUAAAUUGUAAUGAUCCACAGUCCUUUGAUGGAGUAUCAGAGAGGGUAAUAAUCCCGUCUUUAACGUGGACUCCCAGUGUUUAUGUGAUGCAUUCUCUCAGAGUCGAGUAGUUUGGGAAUGCUGCUCUAAUGGGAGGUAAACUCCUUCUAAAGCUAAAUAUUGGCGAGAGACCGAUAGCGAA
rnacentral:rRNA from 1 species